GGGUAUUUACUGUUAGGUUAUAUUUUUUUUUCGUUUACAUUAUCUUUUUUCUUUCUUUUUGUUUCUUUUUGCAUCUUUUUGCCCCAUAAACACACACCAAAAUUUUUUCACACAUUUUUCACUUUUUGCACACACACACACAGAAUUUUGACUUAGCUUUUGCUCUACUCAGCAUAGAUAACAAGGUUAAAAGAGCUUCCUAUCUCAUGACCCCAUUGAUUUUCCACCCCUUUAAGCAUAAAUUGAAUCAAUUAUAGUGUGCUACCUUCACUUUG
rnacentral:lncRNA from 1 species